rnacentral:antisense_RNA from 1 species
AGACUGGCUAAGUCUUCUGGCCUCCAUCUUUCUCCCAUGCUGGAUGCUUCCUGACCUUGAACAUCAGACUCCAAGUUCUUCAGCUUUUGGACUGUUGGACUUACACCAGUGAUUUGCCAGGGGCUCUUGGGCCUUCAGCCACAGAGUGAAGGCUGUACUGUCAGCUUCCCUACUUUUGAGAUUUUGGGACAUGGACUGGCUUCCUAGCUCCUCAGCUUGCAGACGGCCUAUCAUGGUACUUCACCUUGUGAUCAUGACUGCUGGUAUAGCUUGCCUGGUGGUGGACUUGGAGGAUACCAUUGCAUCAGGGCAUUUCUCCACAUGAUAGCUCCUGCCUGCUGGACAGGUCCUCUCUUGACUAUGUGUAUUCUCCAGAGAAGCAGCAUUUAUAAAAUUGGAUUAAAUAAACCAAUUAAUUUUGAAUAUGAAAAUAAACAGCUGUUAUCAUGGAAAUUGCAUUGAUGUGGAUUCUUCUGAAGGCAUGUCCCUAAAGAACCUGCCAACAAAUUCUGUAAAGGCAGAAUGAACAUUCUGGAAAAUUUAUGUCCUUGUGUAGAAAGCUAGAAAAAAAAAAGAAGAAAAAAGAAACUCUCAGCCUGAAGGCCCACGUAAAAC